GACAGAGGGUGCAAACGUUGCUCGGAAUUACUGGGCGUAAAGCGCGUGUAGGCGGGCCUUCAAGUCGGACGUGAAAUCCCUGAGCUCAACUCAGGAACUGCAUCCGAAACUGAAGGCCUGGAGUAGUGGAGAGGGAAGCAGAAUUCCUGGUGUAGAGGUGAAAUUCGUAGAUAUCAGGAGGAACACCGGUGGCGAAGGCGACUUCCUGGCCUGUUCUUGACGCUGAGGCGCGAAAGCUAGGGGAGCAAACGGG
rnacentral:rRNA from 1 species